AAGUCGUAACAAGGUUUCCGUAGGUGAACCUGCGGAAGGAUCAUUACCUAGAGUUUGUGGGCUUUGCCCGCUACCUCUUACCCAUGUCUUUUGAGUACUUACGUUUCCUCGGCGGGUUCGCCCGCCGACUGGACAAAAUUAAACCCUUUGUAAUUGAAAUCAGCGUCUGAAAAACAUAAUAGUUACAACUUUCAACAACGGAUCUCUUGGUUCUG
rnacentral:misc_RNA from 1 species